rnacentral:tRNA from 1 species
GCGUCUGUAGCUCAGUUGGUAGAGCAAUGGGUUGUGGUUCCAUUGGUCGCGGGUUCGAUUCCCGUCGGUCGCCCCA